CCUACAGCAUUAAGUGGGGGUCCCCCAGAUCCUGCCCCUUCCAAACAUAGCUCAAGCCCAUGUUCCCUGCCUAUGGCAGGAGCUAAGGUAUCUGUUGCCUGUGGCUAUGCCAUGGGAAGGGGCAGAAUAAACAUGGAUCUUACCUCUUUCAUCUACAAAGAAGGUGUUGCCUUGAUGUUAGUCAACAUCUUUGAGGGGACAAGGAAGGAAGUGGAGAAGAUACCUUUAAAACAAAACCACACUGUUUAGGAGAAAUCUCAUAUUUAUUGUUUUGUGCUGUUUUAUUGAGACUCGGUCUUGUUCUGUAGCCCAGGCUGGCCUUUUACCUACCUGCCCCAGCCUCCUGGACUCCGAGAUUAUACACACACACCAUCAUGCCUAGCAAAGAGAAAAUAUUUUAUGAUAACGUACAAAUCAAAUAAAUGCAUACUUAUAUGCAGGAAUGCACAUACUACUAGUUGUGUGCACCCAAGUACACACACACACACAAAGAUAAAAACAUUUAGGGAAACCCAUGCUUGUUAAUACUGACAGACAGUACCAUACCACGAACGUUUUGGAAAGACAGCCAAGAAUGUGUCCCCAAGGCAGCACAGAGCUGCAUGUCUAAUGGUGCUGGCUUUCCUGAUCUGUCUCUGAUAAAUAUCCCAGUUCCAGAAGCAUCCUUGAAGGUUCAUUGGAGGCAUACAAGAAGCCUCCCAACUGGCUGACAGCCAAGGGAUGCAGACAAGAGUUAGGCAAGAGCAACCAGUGCUAAAAGGUGGUCCACAGAUGUUAGCAUCAGCAAGAAUAGAGAAGCAAGCCCAUGAAGCAAGUCUCAGUCUCCCCAGACUAAGACUGUCACAGCUUAGAGCCACAGCUCUAAGGGACUAAGAGCCACAGCUUGGCCUUCCAAGGUAGUGUGAGACCCCAUAGGACCAUCAAAGGUCCAGGUCACACACCCUAAGUCCCAGCAGCCAAAUAGGUUCCCAGAGAGGGAGGAAAGCAGGACAGACGGCCAGGACCGGAACACAAUAGGACAAUGCCAGGCAUGGAACAGAAGCCCUGAGUGUAGGAAAUGCCCUAUCUGUAAUUGCCCCCACACAGGAGAAGAAGAAAAAAAGCCCAAGUACAAACGGAAAGCUGGGUAAACAAAAGGUACCAGGUUGCAUUGUAUAUAGCACAUAAUGGAGUAUUUCCCUGCAAGUUAAAAAUCCACACAGUCACUACAAAGAAGUUGCACAGGCACGAUGCUGAGAAAGAACCUGUACACAGCGGAUCUGGGCCUGGAGACCCUGUUUAUACACAGCUCCAUAACUCUCAAGAAGAAUCGGCAUGGUCCGACUCCUGCGCACCUCUGGCUGGGAAAGUGUGGAUGUGGACUUGGCAGGGACAUCAGGCAACUUCCGGGUGAUUAGGAAUGUAUUCCCCCCGCCCCCACUGAACCAUAUAUUUAAGUUCUAUAAACUCACAGUGUGCAUGUCACUCUUCAGCGAUGUGUUUUUUGGUUUUGUUUGUUUUGCAUUAUCAACUGUAUUCUUUUUGUUGUUGUUGUUGUUGUUUUUUUUUUUUUGUUUUUCGAGGCAGCUUUUCUCUGUGUAGCUCUGGCUGUCCUGGAACUCACUUUGUAGACCAGGCUGGCCUUGAACUCAGAAAUCAGCCUGCCUCUGCCUCCCAAGUGCUGGGAUUAAAGGCGUGCGCCACCACCUCCAGGCCAGCGAUGUGUUUUAAAAGAGAGGGAGCCUGCUCACUAUCUGAGCCAAGUACUAACUGAACCAAGGGCAGGAGGCCUCACUGUGCAAGUGAACCUACUGGUCUUGGCCUGAAGAGGGCGCAGUUGUUGUGUCGUUCCCCGUUUCCCAUCUUGCAGGAAGUGUUCCAAGACAAACAAACCUGGCUCCUAAGAGAAGGGAGCUGUCUCAUGUUUAUCCCAUACC
rnacentral:lncRNA from 1 species